AGCUCCUAUCUCUUUCCUCUCUCUCACUCUCGCGGCUCGUCGAUCCCCUUUUCUCUGAGAGGUCCCAUGCCACCGCCGACGCCGCACCACCCACGCCGCACCACCCACGGCAUCGCCGACGCCGGACUCGACCUCAGCCCCGACCCCGACGCCGGCCACCGACCCCGACCCCGACCCACUCCCGCUCCAAUUUUGAUUUUUGCAAAUCGACCCCGACCCCCUCAGCCCCGGCGACCCCUACCACGACGCUGACGUCCUCAACCCCGACGACGACCCCUCUCAGCCCCGACGACCCCGACGCGCGGUAUAUAGAUCAACGAUGGCGAGGAAGUGGUAUGCCGUGUAUGUAGGGUAUGUUCCGGG